GACGAACGCUGGCGGCGUGCUUAACACAUGCAAGUCGAACGGAAAGGCGCUGCUCUUGCGGGUUGUUUGUUUGGCGAACGGGUGAGUAUCACGUGAGUAUCCCGUCCUUGCCUUUGGGAUAACUUCAGGUAACUGGGGCUAUUAUCGGAUAGGAGAUUCUGCUCCACGGUGGGCGUAGGAAAGUUUCGGCGGUUGUGAAUGGACUCGCAGCAUAUCAGCUAGCUAGUGGGGUAGUGAAUGACCAAGUCUUUGAAGGGUAGCCGGCCUGAGUGAGUGGCCGGCGUCAGGAGUACUGAGAUACGGCGCAGACUGGUACGUGAGGCAGCAGGGGAGAACAUUGCAGAGUGGGGGGGCGCCUGAUGCAGCAGCGCCGCGUGCGGAAUGACGGCCUUCGGGUUGUAAACAGCUUUCGCCGGAAACGAAGCGUGAGUGACGGUAAUGGGUAAAAAAGCACCGGCUAACUACGUG
rnacentral:rRNA from 1 species